rnacentral:rRNA from 1 species
UACGGGGGGAGCAAGCGUUGUUCGGAUUUACUGGCGUAAAGGGCGCGUAGGCGGUCAGCACAAGUCAGUUGUGAAAUCUCCGGGCUUAACUCGGAAAGGUCAACUGAUACUGUGCGACUAGAGUGCAGAAGGGGCAACUGGGAAUUCUCGGUGUAGCGGUGAAAUGCGUAGAUAUCGAGAGGAACACCUGCGGCGAAAGGCGGGUUGCUGGGCUGACACUGACGCUGAUGCGCGAAAGCCAGGGGAGCGAACGGG